UCUGCUCUUGAAGAAUCUGCUGCGUUUCCCGCCACUUUUCCGUCCACUCCUCCGUCAGCACCUUCUCCUGCUCCUGCUUCUCGUGAAUCUGAGCCAAUAACAUCUGCGGUGGCCUCUCGAUGCUCUGAAAGAUUAAGUAUAGGAAGGAUACCUCGGUUCUAUACGACGCUCCGCUCUCUUUCCCCGCGGCCAUUCUAGCGAACAGCGUUUUGCAGAUCCGUGGUAUCAAUCCUUGAGCCUCCUGCGACGUUGGAGAUCGAAUUAAAGACGAUCAAAUUCAAGGGGUGCAGAGUUUGAGAACCGGUGUCUUGAAAUACUGAAUCGCUGAUUUCAGCAGGGGUGGCCUUCUAAUUAUUUUCAGCGCUAUAACGCGUAACGUGUCGCAACGAAACGAGGACGAAGGAAUUCUUGCAAAACGCGAGUACGAUUGAAAUAUUACCGGCGUGCCCAUCAUCGUAAAGGUCUUCCCAGACCCUGUCUGGCCGUAGGCAAAGACGCAGGCAUUGUAGCCCUCGAAGGCACUUUCUAUUACAUCCGUACCAAGAUCAAAGAAAAC